GUCGGGCCGUACGGACAGUGUCCGCCGAUCGGCGGCCGCGAUCCUCUGCGACCGCUUGGAUCUGUUUUCACACCGGGAACAGCCCGGGUCACCCCCGCUGGUCGCUCUCCCGGUCCCCGGCCCGGGGAAUCUCGUUACACCGGUGCUUGAUCCGAGUCCCCCGGCCCCGCUGCCGGCUCAGGGCGGUGUUUAACAGGGCUGGGCAGGGACAGGGGCUCCGUCCGCCUCCCCGCAGCCGAACAGCAGCACCUUCCCGGGAGGGCUUCGAGCCCCGGACCGUCGGGAUCGGCACCGGGCGCGGCUGCGGGCGGGGCGGGCGCGGCCCACACUACACUUCCCGUCGGGCCGUGCUGCCGCGGGACCCGCCCCCGCCCCUCCCGGCAUCCGGUUGGCCGCCUCCCCGCUGCCGGCCGUCCCCCUCCUCCUCCCGUUGGCUGCCGGAGCCGUCGCUCCGCGGGGGGUUGAAGGAGGGUGGGGGAGCGGCGGGGCGCUGGCGGCACGCGGAGCUCGGCGCUGCGGGACGGGAUGGAACGGAACGGAACAGAACAGGACGGGAUGGAACAGAACAGGACGGGCAGCUCCUGCACGAGGCAGGCGGAGAUGGAGGCGAUUUGCAGCCCCUUUCUGCUGUUUCUGUAUCACAGUUCCUGACCUACCGUACUGGUGCUGAAUGAUGCUUCCCCCUUAGUUUGGGAACGCAUUGCCUGGAGGCCCUGGGAAAAGCCGUUCUGUGUGAGGCUGCCCCUGUGAGCCACAUAGGAGGAAGACUUUGGGCUGCAGGAGAAAUUGGCAGCUGGGAGUGUUUUAUGUCAUACAUCUAAAGCACUGUGGAACAAACUUUACUAUGUGAAAACUAAAGAGCUGCAUGGAGUGGUGAGGAGCUCAUGUUGCUCUGUUAAACCAACACAGAACUCACUGAGCAGGAGCUAAAAGCACCUGCACAAUGCUCUGGCACUGAGCUGUGUGCUGCCCUCCUGCAGGCACUGCUGUGCAUGAGGCUGCUGCCCCGGGUGGGACACCAGGAGGUGCAGGGCUGUGCAUGCAGGGUGAGUCCUGCGUGGCUCUCAGCAUGGCAUGGAUUUGGGGAGCUCUCCCCUCAUCCCUGCAGUUCAUCUCCCUGCACUCUGCUCGCACUCAGAGGCACAGCCCUGUGGGCAGCUGGCACUCGGGUACGGUGCAACACAGGCAGACCUCCACCUUGAUUUCUUCAGCAAACCUUUGCAGGCAAAAUCACUUUUUGUUUGUUUGCUACAAGUCUGAUUAUCGCUCUUUAUCCUUUCUUAAUUGCACCAAAGAAACCUCUUGGGUGUGUGCAAUAAAAACGUGCAUGAGUGCAGCUGGCAGCACGGCGAGCCCAACACGGCCAUAUAGAGCACCCAGCUCCAGCAAUCCCAGCAGUGCCGUGGGACAACCUGAGCCAUGUUUCUGUUCCAUUGAAGUUUCCUGUAAUUGACUCAAUCGGUGAGGUUUGCUUGAAUUUGCUGCCACAAUACAGACUUAAGUUAAAUGUGUCGUUAAGGUUAAUUUUGCUUACCUAUGCCUAUGUGCCUUGGGCAUAUGCAGUAAGUAUGACUGGCUAUAGUGAAGGGGAGGGGGGGUAGAAAGAAAGCCUGUUUCUUUAUGUCUCACCCAGUUUUCCCUUCCAGCAGCCACCUCUGCUGGCAGCUGCCUCCCGGUGCCGAAGGAGCUGCAGGUGAGGGGCCGCUGUUUCAAAGCACAGAGCCAGUCUGAGCUUCCAGGCUGAUCCAGGGAACAGGAAUUGCGCUGUGCUAAUGAACUCGUGAUGGAUUGAUCUCCUGCUCCUCCUGAAGGAGGCAUUUCACAGCUUUUUCAUUCUUUAAACAUCAGCUGAUAUCCUCCACACUAUGAACUAUGCUUUAGAGUCGUCUGGUAGAACUAACACCAAGACAACCUGUGUGGUUAUUUGAGAGGCUGCAGGAUGGCUGAGGAUCUUUAGAUGGACCGAGAAGAUGAUGGGGAAGACUUGGUAGCAGCAAAGGAGCAAGGAGUCUGCAAUCCCAGCUUGUUUCCUCGUUCAGCUUGUGGCACGUCAUGUGGCCGAUGAGCCCAGUGAGACCAGUUUAAGCAGCGCAGCAGUUCAUGGAUGGAAGAAGAGUCCUCGUUUCAGAACACCUAAACACGAAGAUCUUACAAAUGCUGUUAGGAGAGCUGGCGUGCAGGAGGAAUGAAUCUGGUCUGUCUUCUGUGAUUCUUGACCCACCUAAUUGGCUAAUGGCCACAAGCAAUAACAGCACGGCUCAGGGGAGCAGCGCUGGGGAGAGCUGCAGCCGCUCGGGGCAGAGGAGCACUGCGCCGUACCAAAGGCAUUGCAUGUGAACUGUUUCCCUUCUAGAUCCUGCCGUCAAUGACCAAACCUCCCUGAAAUCUUCUUAUCAGUUGCUGCCAAGAUGAGAAGGAUAGCAGGAAAGAGGAGUGCGUUAUUGCUCCCGUUAUGCAAGGAAGUUGAACUGUUUUCCUGAGCACACCCAGAAUUAAUGCAGCCCAAGCUGAUCAGGUUAUCACAUGCUGGUUACUGCUGGUCUGGGUCGUUCUGAUGGAAGAGCAGGAAGCACACAGACCAGCUGCAUCGAUGGCUUGUCUGGAAAGGGGUGUCACCAACACGGGAGUUGUGGAGCUGGUGGCAAUAGUUUGGUGUGUUCAGCAGGAGCAGCUGCAUCUCUAAGGUAAAACAUUUGACCUGCUGGAAAGCAGUGGAGCUGUGUUGAGUGUAAUAUUUGUAUUUCAGAGAUGUACCGGAUCAUGUGAAGUAAACCUUUGCUCUGUGACUUGUACUCUUCAAUGUGAAUGGAGAGAGGUGGUGUGAGUGUGUGUAGCUUACAGGGGAUGGUGAUUUCAGGGAAAUCCUCUGUGGUAAAGGUCCUCGAAUGGUACAGAUGAUUCCACAUAUAGCAAACACGCUGUUGUGUGAACACGCUCAUCAGAGAGCUGGUUUAACCACUCCAUGCCUUGGAAGAUGGCUUUUGACCUUUGGUGUCCUGACCUGCUUUAAGCAAAAAGGGAAGAGCUCUUCCUUCUGCAGCAGAGCCUGUCUGCCUACUGACUGCUGCUGGUCUGAUUACUGCAAUAAGGGCAGGAUUCCAGGAAGACAUGUAAGCUCUGGAUGUUCCCUGUGCCAGUGUGGGUGAUCAUUGUACUGGAGGCAUUCUGGGUAAAACCACACGUUUCUUCGAACCUGUCCCUUUUUUGCAUGAAGACUGUGGAUUGUAGGUGCUGUCCCAUUAACAGGAUUUGGGCAGACAAAGAACAAGAGGCUUUCUGAGCAGUCAGAAACCUGAGAGCAGCAACUUUGCUCGUGUCUCCUCUUGGGGCACUGCUAGAUGAAAAGAAUUCAGUUCAGUCACAGAAAGGACUGAGCUUCCACCUCAGCUGGUGCUGCAUUUGAUACCUUUUAAUUGGUUCUGAGCAAAAGAAUGAGGAAGUAUGCGCUGGUCUCUCUCAUGUGCCGUGUGUAAGGGAGGAAAAUAACAUGAUCUCUGGAGAAGAACUUAGUGCACAUCAGCGAUAGCACCACGGCACUGCUUUGCAGGAGAGAACAACUUCCCCUGACUGGUGUAUCCUCAGCAGCACUGCUGUGCCACGGUACCUUCAGACAAAAGCUGUUCCCCAGCCUCAUGCUGGCCUCAAAAGUAUGAGGAGAUGAGACUUGGGCAUACUUAGGACUAAGGCAGGUAAUCCCAGGCUGGGGACUGUGCAUAAACUUAGAGUGGGUAGUAUUUAACAAUUGCGGAUGGAAAGAAAUGAUAGGUGUGAUGUGACUGUGUGAGUUACAUCAAAAAAAGUGUGGCUUUCCUGCCAAGUUUUCAGUUAAUUUGGCUAUGCACUGCUGUACACCGGGGAAAAAAAUCGAGCUUAUCUACCAAACUGUUUUUUAAUCAUGUUAGCCUCUCCUUGCAGUGCAGUGCUCAGUGCACGUGUAGCUCAAGGAGGCAAACCACAUGAUUUCCAAAAUCCUCAGUUUGCCACUAAUGCAGCCUCUGAGGUGAAGGUGAAGGUGGCUCCAGGCACGGGGCUGAGUGCUGUGACAGCAGCCUGAGGUCAGGCCCCUGCUGAGCUCUCUGUGUUCAGAAAUGAAGCACCAUGUCCCAAGGACUGCUGACACAUCUGUGGCUGCUGAGGGCUGAGCCUACAGAGCUCCUUCAGACAGCCUGGAAUCCUCACAUCCUAAUGUGGGCCAUUGUCAUACCCGUGUUAAAAUACUUAAUGAAAUACUUGUGGCUUUCUAACCACCCUUUUUGUCUACUCAAGUGUUAAUACCAUAUAGUUAUACAUAAUUAAACCAGUACUGUAAAAUAACAUCUGUCUUAUGUAGAGCAUUGUCAUGGCUACGUUAUGCCAGUGAGUAAAAUUUUAUGUCUGAGCACUUAAAAUGAUCAAGUAUUAUAGUUAAGACUGUCAUAUUGUUUAUGUAGCACUAAAAAGAAAACAAAAAUUCAGAGCAGAUAUAUGUGUGUAUGUAAUAAUAUAUAUAUAUAUAAUACAUAUAUAUAUAUAUAAUUUUUUUCUUAUAAAUACACCAAAUAAUAGGUUGGUUUCAACUAGACUUUCUGGCUCUUCAGUGGUUGCUGCAUUCUGUAUGAAUAUAUCAGGAUCCCAGACAUAUAAUGAUUUAUUUUCAUUAUUACAAACACUUGGUUUCUCUGUACAUUCGCCACAGAUUUGUUGGACAAAACACAGUUUCCCUUCCUGAAUAGGAUUCUACUCUUACUUUCAAACUCCUCUAACUUGAGUUCAAUCUUGGUUGAAUAAGAAGUGUUCCUGACAAAAAUCUGCUUAGAAGAGAGGAAGGUACCUCAGUAACAAAGAGCCGGGGCAUGGCAGCUCCCACUGAACUGCAGGGCACGUUUCUUUAAGUCCUUCCUUUAAAAACGACAACAAAAACAGUUGGGACAAGUGGAACAAAACCAACUAAUUUGGCAAGUCUCCUCUCUUCUACAAUCAAGCAAAACUGCUGUUUAACAUCGCCGCACUCGGUUCCAAGGAGUGUGCUGUUCCAUUGGCUUUAGGUGGGUUUAUUUCCUCCCUCCAUCCAGCCCUGUGCCAAUUAAUCAAAGCAGCACGAGGUGUUUUGUUUUUUCCAGAGCGACUGUCUUUUGUGUAGUGCUGCAAAGUGUAACGUCGCCUCAUUGCUAGAAAUAAUUAUUAGGUCUAAAAUAAUCUGACAGCGUCCUGCUGUGUGUAAAUGAGGUUUGUCCUCUGCUAAGAUCAGUUUGCUGGCACCCAUUCGCCAACACAUCACAAAAAAGCGGUGGCGAGUUGAUCGCAUCCGGUUAUCUGCCUUUUUUUUUUCUUCUUAAUGGGCUUUUUGUUGCUGUGCUGUCACCCAGGUUGAAAUAAAUGCAUGCAAGUCGUGCGAUUCAAAGUUCUGUGCAGCCUGGGGAGAUGGUAGUGGCUCUUCAGCAGCAGGUUCAGGGGCACAGGCACUGCAAAAGGGAAGCGGCUGUUUGCACUUCAACUUCUGAAUCUUGUGCAACUUUGGUUUUGGCCAGCUUGGGGAUCUUCUGCUCUCAGGCAAGCAAUAUGUUAUCGGGGAGGUCCCAAAUGCCGGGUAUAAUUAGCUCGUGUGUUCAGAGGGGUGUUGUUAUGGUUUGACGUGUACAUGCAAGCCUGCUUUCAUGCAGGAGAAUAUAUUUGACAUGGGAAGAAUGCGGUGUGAUUCAGAAGAAGUUAGAAACGUUGUUUCAAGUUGUGCAGCAGUGUUUCACAUUUCACAAAAGGCCACGAAGUUUUUAUUCCUACGUUUAUGAUUGAUUAGGGUUAGAGUUUUAAAAGCUUAACUCAGGCUAUAAGUACUUUGUAGUCAGUCACUGCGAAUUACAGGCUUGGCAUAACUGACAUUUCUAUUCUUCAGUAUAUCCAUUAUUGUUAGAUGCUGAGCAGUCAUUGCACACAGAUGACUGAUUAUUUUAUUUUAUUUUACAGUUUUACACGUGUGGAAAAAUACUUUGUUAAAGCAGCUCCUGGGCGAAUGGGGUAAUUAAAGAGCUGCGCCGCUUUUAUUGGAGCUGACACACGCUGCAUGUUCUUUAAAACCCAGUAUGUGAGCAGAAUGCUUCCAGGAUUUAUUGCCCAUCAGACAAGUCGAGAUACUUUUAACAGGAGUAAAGGUAACUUCAGUUUUUACACUGUUAAAUAAAACUGUCUUUAGGAAGGGAACUGUUGCUGUGAUACAUUGCUCAUGCCCUUGGUUUUUUUCUGUAUACAUUCCAUAGGCACACCUGCACACAAAUGCUGAAGACCCGAGACUUUGAUUUGAUGGUAAUUGUAUGUUCUGUUUCUAUUUAUCUGGAGAAAAAAUAGCUUUCUAAUGCUGACUGAGGAUCCUAGUUUGCUCGGUGCCAGAGGAAUCCUGCAGUUGGUUUCUUUAUUUAAACUGAAAUGCAAUCCUGCUUAGUUUGACUUGCAGCUCUUAGUGCCUGAGAGCUUGGUGUAGCAAGCGAGGAAUCUCAUGUAACAUAAAUUGGAGACCUGGUUUUGCUUUAAAUGAUGAGUGCAAUGUUCUUCAUACAUAACACCUUCCAAGGAGUGACAAAAAAAUAGACUCAUAACUGCAGCACACAGUGAUUAAGUGCGCUGUACACAAAAUCCCUCAGACUGGCUGUAGAACAGAUACAGUCACUGACAGUGUCAUUUUUAGUGAUGUGAUCCAUUUCCUUUGCUUUGAUUUCUUUUUCCAGAAUAUGGGAACAAUCUGAAGUCCAUUUGAGAACACUCAGUCUGCCUAGUCUACCUUUCCUAUUAACAGUUCAUGUCUUAGAAGCAUCUUUAACAUUCCUUUUUUAAAGCUAUGAAUAUUUGUUUAGAUCAGAGUUCACAAACACAUAGCUCUCAAUAUCAAGCCAUUUCUUUGCUCACUUUGCAUGCGUUUUGUUCACACACACAGCUCGUGGUAUGGAGCACCCUGCCAAGCACACUUCUGGGCUGCAGUGAGAAGCGGAUGACCAAUGCUGCACACAGCUAAGCAUGCAGCCUUAUCAGCAAGCAUGCUUUAGGUAGGUAUGGGUGCAAAGUGCUUUCUUGGAGGAGCAGGCAGGUGUGGACAAUAUCAGAAGGCCACGUUCUUCUGCUGUGACUCCUUGGAGCAAGCCCAGCACCGGGCUGACACCAGCAGCAGCAGCCACACCUCUGCCAGCCCCAGACAGUGCCAGGUGUGUGGAAGCUGUGUGCCUGGGAUCAGUGGGAAGGGACACAGCAGGGGAGGCAGGUGCUGCUGUAAAUGUGCUGUUUGUUGUUUUCUGAAUGCUUCCAGGUGAAAGCACAGCUGUCUCCAUGCUGACAGCAAGUCACAGAGUCACAGCGCUGACCAGCUUUUUUUUUUUUUUUUUUUCCCCAAAGUCUUCUUUUAAAAUAGUUACAAUUAAAUCACAGACAGCUUUUGCAUGGCAAGCCGGGUAUGGCGAGUAUGGUGGUGUUAUUUAAUGAGAGAUAAGAAAUGAUUUGGCAACAUGAAAUUCUUAGUAGCAUCAUGUAUCAUCUGUGUUGUGUGUGGUUGCAAAAGUGUUGCUCUUGCUGUUACUUGCCUUAAGGCCAUCCUGCUUUCACUUCCCUAUUUGGGGACAUUUAAGCUGUAAAGCUCUGAACACUUUUUAUGUUUGUCUUGCUAUUAUUGCUUGCCAUAAAGUAUAAUAAUAAAACACGAUAUUAAAGCUGAAGCUGAAGAAAUAUGAUUUGGUGGCUAUGAAUAAAAAACAUGGACAAGUUU